rnacentral:rRNA from 1 species
GACAGAGGGUGCAAACGUUGCUCGGAAUUACUGGGCGUAAAGCGCGUGUAGGCGGACAAGCAAGUCAGGUGUGAAAUCCCUGGGCUCAACCCAGGAACUGCAUUUGAAACUGCAUGUCUAGAGUGUCGGAGAGGGAAGUGGAAUUCCUGGUGUAGAGGUGAAAUUCGUAGAUAUCAGGAGGAACACCGGUGGCGAAGGCGGCUUCCUGGACGAUUACUGACGCUGAGACGCGAAAGCGUGGGGAGCAAACAGG